rnacentral:rRNA from 1 species
GGGUUGUGAGGUUAAGCGACUAAGCGUACACGGUGGAUGCCCUGGCAGUCAGAGGCGAUGAAGGGCGUACUAAUCUGCGAUAAGCGCCGGUAAGGUGAUAUGAACCGUUAUAACCGGCGAUACCCGAAUGGGGAAACCCAGUGUGAUUCGUCACACUAUCAUUAACUGAAUCCAUAGGUUAAUGAGGCGAACCGGGGGAACUGAAACAUCUAAGUACCCCGAGGAAAAGAAAUCAACCGAGAUUCCCCCAGUAGCGGCGAGCGAACGGGGAGGAGCCCAGAGCCUGAAUCAGCAUGUGUGUUAGUGGAAGCGUCUGGAAAGGCGCGCGAUACAGGGUGACAGCCCCGUACACAAAAGCGCAUGUGCUGUGAGCUCGAUGAGUAGGGCGGGACACGUGGUAUCCUGUCUGAAUAUGGGGGGACCAUCCUCCAAGGCUAAAUACUCCUGACUGACCGAUAGUGAACCAGUACCGUGAGGGAAAGGCGAAAAGAACCCCGGCGAGGGGAGUGAAAAAGAACCUGAAACCGUGUACGUACAAGCAGUGGGAGCACCCUUUGGGUGUGACUGCGUACCUUUUGUAUAAUGGGUCAGCGACUUAUAUUCUGUAGCAAGGUUAACCGAAUAGGGGAGCCGGAGGGAAACCGAGUCUUAAUUGGGCGUUAAGUUGCAGGGUAUAGACCCGAAACCCGGUGAUCUAGCCAUGGGCAGGUUGAAGGUUGGGUAACACUAACUGGAGGACCGAACCGACUAAUGUUGAAAAAUUAGCGGAUGACCUGUGGCUGGGGGUGAAAGGCCAAUCAAACCGGGAGAUAGCUGGUUCUCCCCGAAAGCUAUUUAGGUAGCGCCUCGUGAAUUCAUCUCCGGGGGUAGAGCACUGUUUCGGCUAGGGGGCCAUCCCGGCUUACCAACCCGAUGCAAACUGCGAAUACCGGAGAAUGUUAUCACGGGAGACACACGGCGGGUGCUAACGUCCGUCGUGAAGAGGGAAACAACCCAGACCGCCAGCUAAGGUCCCAAAGUCAUGGUUAAGUGGGAAACGAUGUGGGAAGGCCCAGACAGCCAGGAUGUUGGCUUAGAAGCAGCCAUCAUUUAAAGAAAGCGUAAUAGCUCACUGGUCGAGUCGGCCUGCGCGGAAGAUGUAACGGGGCUAAACCAUGCACCGAAGCUGCGGCAGCGACACUGUGUGUUGUUGGGUAGGGGAGCGUUCUGUAAGCCUGUGAAGGUGUGUCGUGAGGCAUGCUGGAGGUAUCAGAAGUGCGAAUGCUGACAUAAGUAACGAUAAAGCGGGUGAAAAGCCCGCUCGCCGGAAGACCAAGGGUUCCUGUCCAACGUUAAUCGGGGCAGGGUGAGUCGACCCCUAAGGCGAGGCCGAAAGGCGUAGUCGAUGGGAAACGGGUUAAUAUUCCCGUACUUGGUGUUACUGCGAAGGGGGGACGGAGAAGGCUAUGUUGGCCGGGCGACGGUUGUCCCGGUUUAAGCGUGUAGGUGUGUGUUCCAGGUAAAUCCGGUUCACUUUAACACUGAGGCGUGACGACGAGGCACUACGGUGCUGAAGCAACAAAUGCCCUGCUUCCAGGAAAAGCCUCUAAGCAUCAGGUAACAUCAAAUCGUACCCCAAACCGACACAGGUGGUCAGGUAGAGAAUACCAAGGCGCUUGAGAGAACUCGGGUGAAGGAACUAGGCAAAAUGGUGCCGUAACUUCGGGAGAAGGCACGCUGACACGUAGGUGAAGUGAUUUACUCAUGGAGCUGAAGUCAGUCGAAGAUACCAGCUGGCUGCAACUGUUUAUUAAAAACACAGCACUGUGCAAACACGAAAGUGGACGUAUACGGUGUGACGCCUGCCCGGUGCCGGAAGGUUAAUUGAUGGGGUCAGCGCAAGCGAAGCUCCUGAUCGAAGCCCCGGUAAACGGCGGCCGUAACUAUAACGGUCCUAAGGUAGCGAAAUUCCUUGUCGGGUAAGUUCCGACCUGCACGAAUGGCGUAAUGAUGGCCAGGCUGUCUCCACCCGAGACUCAGUGAAAUUGAACUCGCUGUGAAGAUGCAGUGUACCCGCGGCAAGACGGAAAGACCCCGUGAACCUUUACUAUAGCUUGACACUGAACAUUGAGCCUUGAUGUGUAGGAUAGGUGGGAGGCUUUGAAGUGUGGACGCCAGUCUGCAUGGAGCCGACCUUGAAAUACCACCCUUUAAUGUUUGAUGUUCUAACGUGGACCCGUUACCCGGGUUGCGGACAGUGUCUGGUGGGUAGUUUGACUGGGGCGGUCUCCUCCUAAAGAGUAACGGAGGAGCACGAAGGUUGGCUAAUCCUGGUCGGACAUCAGGAGGUUAGUGCAAUGGCAUAAGCCAGCUUGACUGCGAGCGUGACGGCGCGAGCAGGUGCGAAAGCAGGUCAUAGUGAUCCGGUGGUUCUGAAUGGAAGGGCCAUCGCUCAACGGAUAAAAGGUACUCCGGGGAUAACAGGCUGAUACCGCCCAAGAGUUCAUAUCGACGGCGGUGUUUGGCACCUCGAUGUCGGCUCAUCACAUCCUGGGGCUGAAGUAGGUCCCAAGGGUAUGGCUGUUCGCCAUUUAAAGUGGUACGCGAGCUGGGUUUAGAACGUCGUGAGACAGUUCGGUCCCUAUCUGCCGUGGGCGCUGGAGAACUGAGGGGGGCUGCUCCUAGUACGAGAGGACCGGAGUGGACGCAUCACUGGUGUUCGGGUUGUCAUGCCAAUGGCACUGCCCGGUAGCUAAAUGCGGAAGAGAUAAGUGCUGAAAGCAUCUAAGCACGAAACUUGCCCCGAGAUGAGUUCUCCCUGAGACUUAGAGUCUCCUGAAGGAACGUUGA